UACGUAGGGUCCGAGCGUUGUCCGGAAUUAUUGGGCGUAAAGGGCUCGUAGGCGGUUCGUCACGUCGGGAGUGAAAACUCGGAGCUUAACUCCGAGCCUGCUUCCGAUACGGGCAGACUAGAGGUAGGCAGGGGAGAGCGGAACUCCUGGUGUAGCGGUGGAAUGCGCAGAUAUCAGGAAGAACACCGGUGGCGAAGGCGGCUCUCUGGGCCUUACCUGACGCUGAGGAGCGAAAGCAUGGGGAGCAAACAGG
rnacentral:rRNA from 1 species